rnacentral:rRNA from 1 species
AGAUUGAACGCUGGCGGCAGGCCUAACACAUGCAAGUCGAGCGGCAGCACGGGUACUUGUACCUGGUGGCGAGCGGCGGACGGGUGAGUAAUGCCUAGGAAUCUGCCUGGUAGCGGGGGGAUAACGCUCGGAAACGGACGCUAAUACCGCAUACGUCCUACGGGAGAAAGCAGGGGGACCUUCGGGCCUUGCGCUAUCAGAUGAGCCUAGGUCGGAUUAGCUAGUUGGUGAGGUAAAGGCUCACCAAGGCGACGAUCCUUAGCUGGUCUGAGAGGAUGAUCAGCCACACGUGGGACUGAGACACGGCCCAGACUCCGUACGGGGAGCAGCAGGUGGGGAAUAGUUAGGACAAGUGGGGA